rnacentral:rRNA from 1 species
UACGGAGGGUGCGAGCGUUGUUCGGAAUUACUGGGCGUAAAGGGCGCGUAGGCGGGAUGGCAAGUCGGUCGUGAAAUCCUUCGGCUCAACCGAAGAACGUCGAUCGAUACUGCUGUUCUUGAGGGUUGCAGAGGAGACUGGAAUUCCCGGUGUAGCGGUGAAAUGUGUAGAGAUCGGGAGGAACACCGGUGGCGAAGGCGGGUCUCUGGGCAAUUCCUGACGCUGAGGCGCGAAAGCGUGGGGAGCAAACGGG